CGGAAGGGUGCCAGGCGGCGGAAGUUGCUGGGAGACUGGGGGAUCUGCACACGAGCCCUCUGGGAGGGCACCACAGUCUCCCCGGGGGACAGCCAGGGUGGCACCCUGGCGAGGAUGCUGGGGUCCAGGUGCUCAUCCAGGGAGAACACAGGGUUCUCAAUUCCUAGGAAAGAGGUUCAGCUCGUGGAAAACAUUCAGAAUCCGAUCUCGAGACUUUUGGGCUGACCUUCUCAUGAGGACCUUGCUGAGGACCUUCCUGUCAAAGUUGGACCACCUGGGGACAGACGGUCACACGGUCAGCUCUCAUGGCCUGGCGCUCCUGCCCCACACAGACAGAGCCCUGGACAUAGGAUUGAGUGGACAGAGGCCUCUGGAGCUGCACCCAGUACAAGACUGUCCUGCUGUCCUGGGUUUCCUGUCCUGAGACCCCCGCGGUGACUUUGGCCACACCUCCUGCGCCAUCCCCCGACUCUGGUUCCCUUUGACCGCGGUAUCAGGAGAAUGCAAAGAAAACCAUCAUCUCAUGCGCCUUUGUGAGGUUUCCAAAGACCACAUAAGUCUCAGAGGGUGGCAUGAGGACAGGGCUGGGGUUCCCGCUCUGAGACAGCAUGCCCGGGCUUCACAUGAACUUUGUCGCCUCUGGUGGAAUAUGGACAAUUAUCUCACACACCAGGGCCUCUAUGUGUGACUCUAAUUCCUUAUUGGAGUCACAUAAUUUUAAGUGUCAAGUGUAUUUUAUAAUAAAAUAGAAAUAGAUUA